AGAGUUUGAUCCUGGCUCAGGACGAACGCUGGCGGCAGGCUUAACACAUGCAAGUCGAACGCUCUCUUCGGAGGGAGUGGCGCACGGGUGAGUAACACGUGGGAACCUACCCUGAGGUACGGAAUAACCAUUGGAAACGAUGGCUAAUACCGUAUGUCCCCUGCGGGGGAAAGAUUUAUCGCCUUGGGAUGGGCCCGCGGUCGAUUAGCUAGUUGGUGUGGUAAUGGCGCACCAAGGCGACGAUCGAUAGCUGGUCUGAGAGGAUGAUCAGCCACACUGGGACUGAGACACGGCCCAGACUCCUACGGGAGGCAGCAGUGGGGAAUAUUGGACAAUGGGCGCAAGCCUGAUCCAGCCAUGCCGCGUGAGUGAUGAAGGCCUUCGGGUUGUAAAGCUCUUUCAGGUGGGACGAUGAUGACGGUACCACCAGAAGAAGCCCCGGCUAACUUCGUGCCAGCAGCCGCGGUAAUACGAAGGGGGCUAGCGUUGUUCGGAAUCACUGGGCGUAAAGCGCGCGUAGGCGGUCCUGCCAGUCAGGGGUGAAAGCCCAGGGCUCAACCCUGGAACGGCCUUUGAUACUGCGGGACUUGAGUUCGGGAGAGGGGCAUGGAAUUCCCAGUGUAGAGGUGAAAUUCGUAGAUAUUGGGAAGAACACCAGUGGCGAAGGCGGUGCCCUGGCCCGAGACUGACGCUG
rnacentral:rRNA from 1 species